rnacentral:rRNA from 1 species
CGGGGUGAGUAACGCGUGGGUAACCUGCCUCAUACAGGGGGAUAACAGUUAGAAAUGACUGCUAAUACCGCAUAAGCGCACGGGGAUGCAUAUCUUUGUGUGAAAAACUCCGGUGGUAUGAGAUGGACCCGCGUCUGAUUAGCUAGUUGGUGAGGUAACGGCUCACCAAGGCGACGAUCAGUAGCCGACCUGAGAGGGUGACCGGCCACAUUGGGACUGAGACACGGCCCAAACUCCUACGGGAGGCAGCAG